UCAGAGGGGGGUAGAAUUCCACGUGUAGCAGUGAAAUGCGUAGAGAUGUGGAGGAAUACCGAUGGCGAAGGCAGCCCCCUGGGAUAAUACUGACGUUCAUGCUCGAAAGCGUGGGUAGCAAACAGGAUUAGAUACCCUGGUAGUCCACGCCCUAAACGAUGUCAAUUAGCUGUUGGGCAACUUGAUUGCUUAGUAGCGUAGCUAACGCGUGAAAUUGACCGCCUGGGGAGUACGGUCGCAAGAUUAAAACUCAAAGGAAUUGACGGGGACCCGCACAAGCGGUGGAUGAUGUGGAUUAAUUCGAUGCAACGCGAAGAACCUUACCUGGUCUUGACAUGUACGGAAUCUUUCAGAGACGGAAGAGUGCCUUCGGGAACCGUAACACAGGUGCUGCAUGGCUGUCGUCAGCUCGUGUCGUGAGAUGUUGGGUUAAGUCCCGCAACGAGCGCAACCCUUGUCAUUAGUUGCCAUCAUUAAGUUGGGCACUCUAAUGAGACUGCCGGUGACAAACCGGAGGAAGGUGGGGAUGACGUCAAGUCCUCAUGGCCCUUAUGACCAGGGCUUCACACGUCAUACAAUGGUCGGUACAAAGGGUAGCCAAGCCGCGAGGUGGAGCCAAUCUCAGAAAACCGAUCGUAGUCCGGAUUGCACUCUGCAACUCGAGUGCAUGAAGUCGGAAUCGCUAGUAAUCGCAGGUCAGCAUACUGCGGUGAAUACGUUCCCGGGUCUUGUACACACCGCCCGUCACACCAUGGGAGUGGGGGAUACCAGAAGUAGGUAGGCUAACCGCAA
rnacentral:rRNA from 1 species